AACGAACGCUGGCGGCAUGCCUAACACAUGCAAGUCGAACGAACCCUUCGGGGUUAGUGGCGCACGGGUGCGUAACGCGUGGGAAUCUGCCCAAAGGUUCGGAAUAACACAGAGAAAUUUGUGCUAAUACCGGAUAAUGUCUUCGGACCAAAGAUUUAUUGCCUUUGGAUGAGCCCGCGUUGGAUUAGCUUGUUGGCGAGGUAACGGCUCACCAAGGCGACGAUCUAUAGCUGGUCUGAGAGGAUGAUCAGCCACACUGGGACUGAGACACGGCCCAGACUCCUACGGGAGGCAGCAGUGGGGAAUAUUGGACAAUGGGCGAAAGCCUGAUCCAGCAAUGCCGCGUGAGUGAUGAAGGCCUUAGGGUUGUAAAGCUCUUUUACCAGGGAUGAUAAUGACAGUACCUGGAGAAUAAGCUCCGGCUAACUCCGUGCCAGCAGCCGCAGUAAAGUCGUACGAU
rnacentral:rRNA from 1 species